rnacentral:rRNA from 1 species
UACGUAGGGGGCUAGCGUUGUCCGGAAUCAUUGGGCGUAAAGAGCGUGUAGGCGGCCCGGUAAGUCCGCUGUGAAAGUCGGGGGCUCAACCCUCGAAUGCCGGUGGAUACUGUCGGGCUAGAGUGCGGAAGAGGCGAGUGGAAUUCCUGGUGUAGCGGUGAAAUGCGCAGAUAUCAGGAGGAACGCCAACUAGUCGAAGGCAGCUCGCUGGGACGUAACUGACGCUGAGGAGCGAAAGCCAGGGGAGCAAACGGG